rnacentral:rRNA from 1 species
UAAGAAGGGGGCUAGCGCUGUUCGGAAUCACUGGGCGUAAAGCGCACGCAGGCGGAUCGAUAAGUCGGGGGUGAAAGCCCGGGGCUCAACCUCGGAAUUGCCUUCGAUACUGUCGGUCUCGAGUCCGGGAGAGGUGAGUGGAAUUCCUAGUGUAGAGGUGAAAUUCGUAGAUAUUAGGAAGAACACCAGUGGCGAAGGCGGCUCACUGGCCCGGUCCUGACGCUCAGGUGCGAAAGCGUGGGGAGCAAACAGG